rnacentral:rRNA from 1 species
UCGAGCGGACAGAUGGGAGCUUGCUCCCUGAUGUUAGCGGCGGACGGGUGAGUAACACGUGGGUAACCUGCCUGUAAGACUGGGAUAACUCCGGGAAACCGGGGCUAAUACCGGAUGGUUGUUUGAACCGCAUGGUUCAAACAUAAAAGGUGGCUUCGGCUACCACUUACAGAUGGACCCGCGGCGCAUUAGCUAGUUGGUGAGGUAACGGCUCACCAAGGCNACGAUGCGUAGCCGACCUGAGAGGGUGAUCGGCCACACUGGGACUGAGACACGGCCCAGACUCCUACGGGAGGCAGCAGUAGGGAAUCUUCCGCAAUGGACGAAAGUCUGACGGAGCAACGCCGCGUGAGUGAUGAAGGUUUUCGGAUC